ACUGUGCACAUCUUGACGGUACCUAAUCAGAAAGCCACGGCUAACUACGUGCCAGCAGCCGCGGUAAUACGUAGGUGGCAAGCGUUAUCCGGAAUUAUUGGGCGUAAAGCGCGCGUAGGCGGUUUUUUAAGUCUGAUGUGAAAGCCCACGGCUCAACCGUGGAGGGUCAUUGGAAACUGGAAAACUUGAGUGCAGAAGAGGAAAGUGGAAUUCCAUGUGUAGCGGUGAAAUGCGCAGAGAUAUGGAGGAACACCAGUGGCGAAGGCGACUUUCUGGUCUGUAACUGACGCUGAUGUGCGAAAGCGUGGGGAUCAAACA
rnacentral:rRNA from 1 species